AUAACAUACACUGUAACAAAAGUCAGUAAAAUAUACAGCAAAACACCGUCAAAUUCCAACGGUAAUGGAGCGUAAAACCAAAAACUUCCUUUUACUGUAUUAAAUAGAUUGAAUAACCGUUAAUUGUGAGACUGGAUAAAACUUUGUUUUUUACUGUAAUAAAAUGUUGAAAUUAUAAAUAUUGUCUGUGAAAACAAAUAAAUAUGCAUACAUUUUACAAUUAAAUAUUGUAAUGUUGAAAAUGUCUGAAAAACUUAGAUUUUACGGUAUUAUUUGAGUAAAACUACAUCUUUUGGGGUUGUGCACAUUGGAAUUCACAGUAUAAAGCUGUAAAUUUUUAAGCAAACAAAAACAUUCAUUUUUACAGAAGCAAGAUGUUAAAAAAUAGGGUCCACCGUAAUAAUACAACCAGUAAAUACCAUUAAAAAAAAAAAAAAGCAAAUAUCAGCAGUGAAAGACAAUAAAAUUGAUAGUAUUUUUUUUUAUUUUAAAAUUCAGAUACUGAUAUACAGAUUAAAAGUUAGGCCUGCAGUAUAUCAUUGUUAACCUUCUGAUAAAAAAAAAUCAACAGCAAAAGAAGAUGUUAAAAAUAAAGUUCAUGGUUGUGAAUAAAAUUGAUUUCAAUAAUCUUUUUUAAUUAUUAUUUUAAAACAACUUUAUGUUGUUGUGUUUCACGCCAUAUUAUCAGACCACCUUAAGUGGGUCCGCCUUAAAUUUUGAGUUUGUGUGAUCGCUGUUGAUUGGUAGCUAAACUGCUGGUAAACUGUGUACAGACGUUUUACGUUCGAAUUGCAGAGAAAAAAAAAUUCUGGUAGCAACAUUGUGCAGUAUGAGCGAACCAUUUCACCAAAAAAAGGGGAAGCAAGGCAAGACGUGGCUGCAGCGGUCUGCAGACGUGACUUCUGAUCAAAUUCGAAUCUCCUCCUAAAGAAACAAAGAGCGACAUUACAUUGCGGGAUGACGUCACCUGAAAAUGACCAAUAGCGCGGCGCGCUGCUGAGCUGUGUGCCAACCGCUCUUUUUUUCAUGCAGGAGACUCAAGUUGGCUUCGCUAACGGACACAGUUUUGAACUCGUAUAUUAGCUCCAUUUAUUGCUGCUUGGACCACAGCAUCUUCGGAAUUUGUAGACAUCCUGGCAGCUUACAAUUAGUUCGAGGUGAGGUGAGUACAUGCAACUUCAAGUUAUCUCUGUUAUAAAAAUCCACCAGCCCAGCGUUUAUAGAUAAUUUUAGCAGUUCGUUUUUUAUGAGUGAGGUUGUGAAUUUAGUUAGCAUUUGUGAGUUGAGUUAGCAUUAGUGUCACGAGGGAAGCAUUGCUCUGGAUUAGUUUCUGUGUUUGGCGUGCUUAAUUCGCUAGGGAGGAAUUACCAAAGUACAUGGAGUUAUGUUAACCUGUAAUUUCCUUGGUAAGGUAGUUCAGUCAUCAAGGGGCUACGUGAUUUUUUUGGUCAAAACCCAUCAUGUCUCAAGCUAGUACUCUACCAGGAUGCCUUUGAAGUCGUUAACCCUUUAGGCUCUGCAAGGACAAAACACAAGGUAUUAUUUGUAUAUGCAUCAGUGGCAAACUUGCCACUUCAUGUACGCUCAGACACAGAUCACAUGUCUCUUGUCUUACUGUGCAGGGAGAAAGAUUUUAAAGAGUUUGGUCAUGCUAAUGUGUUCUCUGAAUUACUGGCAGACUUGAAAGAAUUGGAGGACAGUGGGAUUGUUGCAUCAGAUGAAACUAGAGUCAAAGGAACUUUGUUUUGCAUUGCUGGUGAUAAUCUGGGUUCUCACUGUAUUGGUGGCUUCACUGAAAACUUUAGUUCUUCAAAGUACUUCUGCAGGUACUGCCUGAUAACGAAAUCUGAAUUUCAGGGUGCUGACCCAAAUCUGUGUGGACCAGAACGUACCAAAGAGAACUACAACUCUGCUGUUGAUCGCCUCCAGAUUGACAAUACACCAGACGUCGAAGGAGUGAAGUUCAGACACUGAAUUUGAGCAGAAACCAUAAGGAUACUCAAAGGACCUGUGACUCUCAGGAAAUGCAUCAAAUGAGAGGGACAGAUGAAACAGUUUCAAGACAAUGGCAGGAAAAACAUGCUGAAGAUUGAAACAAACCUUGGCUGGAAAUAUUUGAAGGUAUCUAGCCAGUCCACAAUGAAAGCUUCGUUGCACCCCAUGAGUCUUCUGGCAGAAAUGAUGGCGCCUGUAUUCUUUGGUUUCCCUAAACAUCACACCCUGCCUGUUUAUACGAGGCUCUUCAAUUAAGUCUGCACCCAAAGAUUCAAUAAGAGAGGGGAUCCUGCCAGUCCAAAGUGAACUCCUGAUGGACAUUGAAGUACUCCUGCAGAGCUUGUAUCUUCGACACCAUGCGCAUUAGAAACUCCACUGAGUCCUUUCCUUCACCAAGGCAGGACCCAGUGACUCAUUACUGUUGAUAGGUCAGGGCCAGGUAAUAUUUUGUUUCAUAUUUAUUCAUUCCUCUAUGGAUUACCAGCCAUAUAUAUGGACACAUGCUGUAUUCUCAAGAUCUAUGCUGUUUUGUAGGAAUAGAGAAAAUGAUAUGUUUAGUCUGUUUUCAAAUAGUAUGUCAAAUUUUCUCAUUGUUUAUCAGUAAUAUUCACUACCUUGGCUAUAUAUGAGCAUCUUUAGGUUUUUCUAUAUUUAGCGGUUGCAAAUGUAAAAUGUACGGUAAACCAUUUAUGUUCCUCAUAUUGUACUGUAUUUUUAGCGGUAAAAUACCGGCAGCUGUGGUAGCCAGGAAUUUACCGUAAAAUGUAUCUGGUCAAAAUAAAAUGCUGUAAUUUGUUAUACAAUUUCACUGUGUUUUUUACUGUCAAAGGUUUUAAUAAGGUUUAACAUAUUUCUGUUAUUUUUACAGUUAUUUACAAUAAUAGGGUCUAUCCUAUUACUGUUAAAUUAACAACAAAUUACUGUAAAUAUUAUUAUAUCAUAACCUUUUUUUUACUGCAAAUAUCCGUAAAAAGCUAUGGAAAGUUGCAUUUUUUACAUUAAAUUGCUGUAUAAUUGACAAAUAUAUUUGUUUUUUUCUAUCAUGAUUUUGGUAAAAUAAUACGUUGUCUACCUUAAAAUUUAGGGUUACAAAACCAGUAUACCGUAUUGUCUUUUACAGAUUCCACAUUUUUUUCACGGUAUAUUCCUGGCUACCACAGCUGCCGGUAUUUUACCGUAAAUUUGACAGUUUUUUUUUUACAGUGUAG